AGUGAACGCUGGCGGUAGGCCUAACACAUGCAAGUCGAACGGCAGCACAGUAAGAGCUUGCUCUUACGGGUGGCGAGUGGCGGACGGGUGAGGAAUACAUCGGAAUCUACUUUUUCGUGGGGGAUGACGUAGGGAAACUUACGCUAAUACCGCAUACGACCUACGGGUGAAAGCAGGGGAUCUUCGGACCUUGCGCGAUUGAAUGAGCCGAUGUCGGAUUAGCUAGUUGGCGGGGUAAAGGCCCACCAAGGCGACGAUCCGUAGCUGGUCUGAGAGGAUGAUCAGCCACACUGGAACUGAGACACGGUCCAGCCGCCUACGGGAGGCAGCAGUGGGGAAUAUUGGACAAUGGGCGCAAGCCUGAUCCAGCCAUACCGCGUGGGUGAAGAAGGCCUUCUGGUUGUAAAGCCCUGUUGGUGGGAAAGAAAAGCAGCAGGUGAAUACCCCGCUGUUCUGACGGUACCCAAAGAAUAAGCACCGGCUAACUUCGUG
rnacentral:rRNA from 1 species